GAAUUUUGGACAAUGGGGGCAACCCUGAUCCAGCCAUGCCGCGUGAGUGAAGAAGGCCUUCGGGUUGUAAAGCUCUUUCGGCCGGGAAGAAAUCGGCGACUCUAACAUAGUCGCUGGAUGACGGUACCGGAUUAAGAAGCACCGGCUAACUACGUUCCAGCAGCCGCGGUAAUACGUAGGGUGCGAGCGUUAAUCGGAAUUACUGGGCGUAAAGCGUGCGCAGGCGGUUUUGUAAGACAGAUGUGAAAUCCCCGGGCUUAACCUGGGAACUGCGUUUGUGACUGCAAGGCUAGAGUACGGCAGAGGGGGGUGGAAUUCCUGGUGUAGCAGUGAAAUGCGUAGAUAUCAGGAGGAACACCGAUGGCGAAGGCAGCCCCCUGGGCCUGUACUGACGCUCAUGCACGAAAGCGUGGGGAGCAAACAGG
rnacentral:rRNA from 1 species